GCCAGAGUAAACUAUGAAAGCUGAGACUCCCCCUCAGAAGAGCCAUCAUGCCCUCUCCCUGCCAGAGUAAACUGUAAAAGCUGACUCCUCCUCAGAAGAGCCAGGUGAAACUGCAGACUGAGACCAGGUAGCUCCAGUGAAAGUCACUGGUUCACCGAGUUGAACUUUGCUGGUACCAGUCCUUUGGUCUGUUGUGAGUUUCCAUCUGGGGCUAAGAAGAUCCUUGGGCUUAGCUGAACUGGUUCGGAGGGGCUGCAGAGAUGGCUCAGUGGUUAAGAGCACUGACUGCUCUUCCAGAGGACCUGAAUUCAAUUCCCAGCACCCACACGGCAGCUUACAACUAUCUGUGAAGAUCUGACACCCUCACACAUGCUGGCUACAUACCAAU